GGAUUUUCCAAGCUUGGUCUCAUGUUUGGCUGAGGGUCUCUGUAUCAAUUUCUAUCAGUUGCUGGAUGAAGCCUCUUCGAUGACAAUAGGGCUAGGCACAAAUCUAACCAGCCAUAGAAGACCACAUGCUUCCAAAUCAAUCAAAUCAGAUCUCCUGUGUCUGAAUCUACAGGAUCCCAACCAGCAAGAAGACCCUCACCAGAUGCCUCUGAAUUCCCAGCCCCAAGAUUGUAAAUUGAUUGCAUUCUGCAGUGUCAUUCAGUUAUAGCAACAGAAAAUAGUCCAAGACAUUAGGUACCAACUAUCAAUCCUGAGCAAUACCCAAAGCUGCAGGACAAUAUCCAGCAGCUACUUCAGAACAGGAAUGUGAUAGGUUAACAGCCCCUGGUGAGAUGUUAGCUGAGGCCUUGUUAAGACUCUAAAACUUGCAGAACAGAAAGACAGGUGAGAAGGGCUAGAGCUGGGAGACUGAAAAGAUGCCAGGCACCAAGGCACUGUCAUCCGCCAGCUCUGAUCUGCUCCUGUACCAGGGGUCUAAUCAGGCCUGUGUCUGCCUCCCUACUGAGAAGACCAGACACCCCAUCUCAACAGCCUUCCUCCAGCAGCUCUCUCCCCUCUCCAGGCUGCCACAUGGGAGUUCCAGACCAGUGUUGUCUCCUGGGACAUUGACACAUCAGCUUAGUUUAUCGUUGCUGGACCUUCCACAGUUGGUGUGACUGGAUCAGGGGCUGGCAUCUGAACAGUGUUUGGUAACUUGAUUAUCGGCUAUGUCAGGAACCCUUCUCUCAGGCAGCAGCUCUUCUCCUAUGCCAUUCUGGGCUUUGCCCUGUCUGAGGCCAGGGGGCUCUUCUGUUUUAUGGGUCGCCCUCCUCAUCCUCUUCACCGUGAGACACUGUGGGUCACCCAGAUGUCCCUGCUGCUUUGACUUUAUACCAUUCUUGGUGCUGGAAUGUGCUAAACUUUACCACUAAAUAUUUUUGUUUGUUUGUUUGUUUGUU